rnacentral:tRNA from 1 species
GGAGAGGUGGGUGAGUGGCUGAAACCAACAGUUUGCUAAACUGUCGAUGGGGAAACCUAUCCGCGAGUUCGAAUCUCGCCCUCUCCG